GGGGAAUAUUGCACAAUGGGCGCAAGCCUGAUGCAGCCAUGCCGCGUGUGUGAAGAAGGCCUUAGGGUUGUAAAGCACUUUCAGUCGUGAGGAAAGGUGUGUGCUUAAUACGUACAUACUGUGACGUUAGCGACAGAAGAAGGACCGGCUAACUCCGUGCCAGCAGCCGCGGUAAUACGGAGGGUCCGAGCGUUAAUCGGAAUUACUGGGCGUAAAGCGCGCGUAGGUGGAUUGGUCAGUCAGAUGUGAAAGCCCAGGGCUCAACCUUGGAACUGCAUCUGAUACUGCUAGUCUAGAAUACAGUAGAGGGUAGUGGAAUUUCCUGUGUAGCGGUGAAAUGCGUAGAUAUAGGAAGGAACACCAGUGGCGAAGGCGACUACCUGGACUGAUAUUGACACUGAGGUGCGAAAGCGUGGGGAGCAAACAGGAUUAGAUACCCUGGUAGUCCACGCCGUAAACGAUGUCUACUAGCCGUUGGAAGACUUGAUCUUUUAGUGGCGAAGCUAACGCGAUAAGUAGACCGCCUGGGGAGUACGGCCGCAAGGUUAAAACUCAAAUGAAUUGACGGGGGCCCGCACAAGCGGUGGAGCAUGUGGUUUAAUUCGACGCAACGCGAAGAACCUUACCAACUCUUGACAUCCAGAGAAGAGGCUAGAGAUAGCUUUGUGCCUUCGGGAACUCUGAGACAGGUGCUGCAUGGCUGUCGUCAGCUCGUGUUGUGAAAUGUUGGGUUAAGUCCCGUAACGAGCGCAACCCUUGUCCUUAUUUGCCAGCACGUAAUGGUGGGAACUCUAAGGAGACUGCCGGUGACAAACCGGAGGAAGGUGGGGACGACGUCAAGUCAUCAUGGCCCUUACGAGUUGGGCUACACACGUGCUACAAUGGCCGGUACAGAGGGCUGCAAACCUGCGAAGGUAAGCUAAUCUCACAAAACCGGUCGUAGUCCGGAUUGGAGUCUGCAACUCGACUCCAUGAAGUCGGAAUCGCUAGUAAUCGUGGAUCAGAAUGCCACGGUGAAUACGU
rnacentral:rRNA from 1 species